UUUACCCCUAUUGUAGUCCUGCUGGAGUGUGCUUUGACCCGCACCACCGAUUGGGACAAAAGCUUUGAAACUUCAAAGAGGCAACAAGCCUGCGUUUUAUACUCAUGGAAUGGACGGAGUGUAGUGUCGGGUCGCCUGCGUUGGGUUUCACCGAAAACAAAUCAAUAACCAUUUGGAGAUAUCGUAGCCUACUACUUUUCAGGGGGCGGGGGCGGACGCUAAUAAUUUGUGAUGCUGAAAUAUGAGAGCGGAACCGAGGCAGAUGAAUAAGCAACGAAUGGAGCACUGUCUGUUGAGUGAAGUUGGGCUCUAAAAGGAAAAAAAAGUCGAGUUGCACGCAACGGGAUUUCUCAAAGUGAGAUAAAAUGUGAUCCCUGUGCACUGAAUCCAGGCAAAAGCGAUGCGCUUUCUGUCUUGCACGUUUCAAUGGAUUCUUUUGAUUGAGAAGUGCAAAAUCAAACUUAAGGAAUAUUUGAACUGAAAAGCUCUGAACCUUAAAAUAAUUUUGUUACACUGGAGAAACCGAGGUGGAGGUCUCUGGCCUUGGAUGACUGAAGAAAAUGACAUUUUGGAACACUUUAAAAGAUUGGUGGGCUCUCACCUGGAUUAUUUUCCUCGUUGUUGCCAGAAGCGGUAGUGCACAAGACAGACAGGGUUACUUAGUGGCGGCCCCGUCUGUGUUCCGCGCUGGAGUCGAGGAGGCUGUGAGCGUCACACUCUUCAAUGCGGUGGAGGAGACCCGGGUCCAGGUGCAGCUCUCAGUCAAAGGAGAGACAGUGGCCCACAGCCAUGGCACUGUACUAGAUAAAGGAACCAUCAAACUCAAGGUCCCCACAGGACUGCGAGGCCAGGCCCAGCUGAAGGUCUGGGGUAACCGGCACCUGACAGAGGGAGGUUACAUCUUCCACAACUCCACCACUGUGACGGUGGACAGCAAAGGGACAGCUGUCUUUAUUCAAACCGACAAGCCUGUCUACAAGCCACAGCAAAGAGUGCUUAUCAAUGUUUACUCAAUGGCACCAGAUCUGAGGCCAGCAAAUGACAAGAUUGAGGCGUAUGUUGUGGAUCCACGGGGAUCCAGGAUGAUCCAGUGGAAUGGACUGAAGCCCCAUUGCUGCGGCAUUGUGAAUAUGAGCUUCCCCCUGUCUGACCAGCCGGUGUUCGGAGAGUGGCUCAUCUUUGUUGAACAGCAGGGUCACACCUACAACAAAUCCUUUGAGGUGCAGAAGUAUGUCAUCCCCAAGUUUGAACUGGUGCUGGAGCCUCCGCGGUACAUCCGUGACCUUAACGUCUGUGAGCAGGUGACCGUCAGGGCCAGGUACACAUUUGGGAAGCCAGUGACUGGGAAGAUGAUUGUGAACAUGACGGUGAAUGGAGUUGGGUACUACCGCCAUGAUGUAGGUCACCCAGUGGUCAAGACCAUGGAGAUACGAGGCACAGCAACUUUUCCCUUGUGUGUGAAGGAGAUGAUGCCGCUGGAUGUAGCGGAUCACUUCCGGGGCACAGUGAGCAUGUGGGUGUCCGUCAGUAGUGUGGACGGCAGUCGGCAGACAAUGCUGGAUGACUCUACCCCCGUCCACAAGCAGCUGAUCGACGUCAAGUACUCAAAGGACACACGGAAGCAGUUCAAGCCUGGUCUGCCAUACAAGGGCAAGAUUGAAGUAACAUACCCUGACGGCAGCCCUGCGGAUGCUGUGCGUGUGCGUGUGAAGGCGGAGCUCACACCCAAGGAUAAUGUGUUCACCAGCGAGCUGAUCUCCCAGAAUGGACAGGCCACCUUUGAGAUCCCCUCCAUCCCCACAGCAGCACAGUACGUCUGGCUGGAGACUAAAGUGAUGUCCAUAGAAGGACGAGCUGCUGGGGACCAGUACUUGCCCAGCUACCUGUCCAUCAGCAGCUGGUACUCUCCCAGCAAGUGCCACAUCCAGCUGCAGAGUCCCGGCCAACCCUUGCAGAUCGGACAGGAGACAGUAGUGCAGCUGAAGUCCACAUGUGGGUGUAACUUCACCUUGCACUAUGAGGUGGCUUCGCGGGGCAACAUUGUGCAGUCAGGUCUGCAGCAUCCCAACCAGAGCACCCACCGGCAGAGGAGGGCGGCUGUCAUCUUCGACAAGAACAUCCACACCACACAGACGCCCUCUGAGACAGAGGAGGAAGAGGCCCUCCCCCAGACCGAGAUUGACAGCUGUGUCACGGCGUUGCAAUUCCAGGUCACCGCGGCAAUGGCUCCCCUGAGUCGGUUGCUGGUGUACUACGUCAGGGAGAACGGCGAGGGGGUCACAGACAGCCUUCAGCUUCCUGUGCAGCCCAGCUUUGAAAACAAGGUCUCCGUCACGCUUUCCUCAAAUGAGUCCAUACCAGGUGACCCCAUCAGCUUGAAGGUCAAAGGUGAACGGGGGUCAUGUGUCUGUGUGGCCACUGUGGACAAAAGCAUGUACCUCCUCAAACCAGGAUUCCAGCUCAGCCCUGAUAAGGUAUUUAAAGAGCUGGCAGACUUUGAUGUGUCAGAUGCUUUUGGGGUACCUAAAGAUGAUGGGCAUUUCUGGUGGCCGGGCUUAUCAUCACGACGACGACGGUCAUCAGUGUUUCCAUGGCACUGGGACAUCACUAAAGAUGCUCGCUUUGCUUUCACGGAGACCGGGCUGGUUGUGAUGACAGACCUGGUGCAACUGAACCACAGGCAGAGUGAGGGCAUGUACACAGAUGAGGCAGUCCCAGCGUUCCAGCCCCACACCUCCACACAAGCAGCCCUACAUGCCCGACCAGGGCCCAGAGCAGAGAAGCGCAGGCGAACGUUCUUCCCUGAGACGUGGGUGUGGCACUGCCUCAAUGUCAGUGAUGUCACAGGUGAAGCAGAGCUCCAAUUAGUCGUCCCGGAUUCCAUUACCACCUGGGUGACAGAGGCGAUUGGUCUGUCGGAGGAGAAGGGGCUGGGCAUGGCGGCCAGGGCGGAGCUGCGUACGUUUAAGCCCUUCUUUGUGGAUUUCACCCUGCCGUACAGCGUCAUCCGCGGGGAGCAGACCAAAGUGCCCCUCACUGUCUACAACUACUUACCUACCUGUGCAGAGGUCCAUGUCAAAGUGUCUGUGCCCAAGGGCAUCCGCUUUGUGGGGCAUCCUGGCAAGCAUCACCUGACCAGGAAGAAGUGUGUGGCGCCUGGGGAGGCCACGCCCACCUUUAUUGUGCUGUCAUUUGCCGAGCUGGGUGCAGCCAACAUCACAGCUCGUGCAGUGGCCUACAAUGAACCGGGGUGCUGCCAUGAUGGACUCCAGUCCCCUAAAAUGGGGCGCAACACAGAGGAGCUGGAGGACAGGCGAGCUCAGGCGGGGAGCGACUACGUGCGCCGCAGUGUGCUAGUGGAGCCGGAGGGUCUACCCAGAGAGUACACCUACAGCGUCUUCUUUUGCCCCAAUGAGCGAAUCCACAUCUCCACACCCAACAAAUAUGAGUACCAGUACGUGAAACGGCCAGCGCGCGUCACACACUUCGAGGUGGCGGUGAAGACACACAAUGACGCCCACAUCGCCCUCUCAGCCAGCCCGCAUGACAGCGCUGAGAUGCUUGAGAUCGUGCUGGGGGGCAGGCAGAACACGCGCUCCUGGAUCUCUCUGGGGAAGAUGGGAGAACCGGUGGCCAGCGCCCCCACGCCAGGCAUCCUCUCCUGGGAUGAGUACCGCAGCUUCUGGAUCAGCUGGAAGGGCGGGGUUGUACAGGUUGGCCAUGGGUCUCAGCCCUCCAACGAGUCCAUCAUAGUGCAGUGGCCUGGGCCCCUCUCGGGCCAGAUUCGGCACAUUGGCUUCUCCACAGGCUGGGGCUCCGUCGGCGAGUUCAAGAUCUGGCGAAAGGAGGAGUCGGACGAGAACCACAAUGAAGCCUUCACUCUGGGCGUCCCGCACAACGUGGUGGCAGGGUCAGAGCGAGCCACGGCCUCCAUGAUUGGAGAUGUGAUGGGUCCCACACUGAACAACCUGGACCGCCUGCUGCGACUGCCCUUUGGCUGUGGAGAGCAGAACAUGAUCCACUUUGCCCCCAAUGUGUUUGUGCUGAGGUACCUGCAGAAGACCCGACAGCUAAGCCCAGAGGUGGAGGCCGAAGCCACUGAUUACCUGCUACAAGGUUACCAGAGGCAGCUGACCUACAAGCGGCAGGACGGCUCUUACAGCGCCUUCGGGGAGAGGGACUCCUCCGGGAGCAUGUGGCUGACAGCAUUUGUGCUGAAGUCCUUUGCUCAGUCACGGGGCUUCAUUUUCAUCGACCCCGAGGAGCUGCGCGCCCCCAAAGCCUGGCUCAUCACUCAUCAGAAAGAGGAGGGCUCCUUCCCUGCCAUGGGCAGGAUACUCAACAAAGACCUGCAGGGGGGAAUUCAUGGGAAAAUCUCCCUGACUGCAUAUGUGGUGGCUGCGCUGCUGGAGACCGGAAUCGACACAGAGGAAGAAAAGAUGGCAGUGGCCAGAGCGAAGGCUUUCCUGGAGAGUAACACAUACUCGGCAGAUGACCCCUACACCACGGCCCUGCUGGCCUAUGCCCUCGCCCUGCUGAGAAGCCCCUAUGCACCCCUUGCUCUCCGCCGCCUCAACCAUAUGGCCAUCACUCAAGAUGGCUUCACCCACUGGAGUCUCACUGGGAGCACGGUUACAGAUGAGGACACCUUCAUGGGAUUCAGUGAUGGACUCUCACAGUCAGUGGUGUCUGCCGAGGUGGAGAUGACUGCGUACGGCCUGCUCACCUACACGCUGCUGGGGGAUGUUGCCUCUGCUCUGCCCGUCGUCAAAUGGCUCUCCCAGCAGAGGAACGCCCUGGGGGGCUUCUCCUCCACUCAGGACACAUGUGUGGCCCUGCAGGCCCUCUCUGAGUAUGCCAUCCUGUCCUACGUGGGGGGAGUGAACCUCACCAUCUCUCUGGCCUCCACCAACCUGGACUUCCAGGAGACCUUCGAGCUGCAGAGGGACAACAAGAAGAUCCUGCAAAGUGCCACGAUUCCCAGCAUCCCCACAGGCCUGUUUGUCAGUGCUAAAGGAGAGGGUUGCUGUCUCAUGCAGAUCGAUGUCUCCUAUAACGUCCCGGACCCCGUGGCCAAGCCUGCCUUCCAGCUGAAGGUAGACCUGAAGGAGCCCAGGCGGGAGCGCCACCCCUCACCCUCCCCGCGCCACCCCUCAACCCGCUCCCGCUCCCGGGCCGACAACCGCUCCGAGCUGAGUCGUAAGCGCCGGGCCCCAACCGACGACGAGGACCCUGCCAGCCAUCAGGACCACCUAGACUACCGCGUCACGCUGGAGGCCUGUGCAAGGUGGCUACACUCAGGCUCAUCCAACAUGGCCGUCCUGGAGGUUCCACUGCUAUCUGGGUUCCGUGCUGAUGUGGAAAGUUUGGAGAGACUCCUGAUGGACAAGCGAGUGGGACUGAAGCGGUACGAGGUGGACGGGAGGAAGGUGCUCUUCUACUUUGAUGAGAUUCCCAGCCAGUGCAUGACGUGUGUGGCCUUCCAGGCGCUGAGGGAGUACAUCGUGGGCAAGACGGCACCUGUGCCCGUCAAGGUGUAUGACUACUAUGAGCCAGCAUUCGAGGCGACCCGUUUCUACAACGUGAGUGAAAGCAGUCCUCUGGCGCGGGAGCUGUGUGACGGUCCCACCUGCAACGAGGUGGAAAGCUCCAGUAACCAGUGGACAGGCUUUGCGCAGAGCAGCUCGUGUAACAGUGUGAUGGGCUGCCCGGAGGAGGAGCGCUUUGAGCGGUGCACCUGCUACCGGGACUGUGGCUACGACGGCGAGCCCGUGUGCGGCUCGGACGGCCAACUCUACCAGAACCAGUGCCAGCUGGAGGUGUCCGCCUGCCGUAACAACACCCGCAUCGAGCAGGUGCCCCUCAGCCAGUGCCCACAGAUGGAGUCAGUCAUAGAAGAGCAAGAUCCAGCCACAGGGGAAGAAUCUGAGCAGGAGGCAGUUCUUAUCCACACAGGUGGAGAGGAACAGGGCUCCCAGUCGGAGGUCUCCUACUACUCCUAUGAGUACGACUCCGACUCCGAGCCCUUCCCUGCUGAGCCGGAUGCCCACUUCCUGCUGCCCGCCGAGACGCAGACGCCCAUGGCCAGUCAGACGCUCUCGCUGGACACAAAGGACUCACCGGAGCGAUGAAACAUCAAUCAGGAAGCUGCCCAUGUGAAUCCUUCUUCUUGUAUAUGUCUGUGAAUAUGAUAGUGUGAGAGUGGAGACUGGAGAGAGAGGGGGAGAAAGAGAGAGAGAAAGAGACUGACGCUGGAGCAAUUCUUGGAAGGUGGUGGGUCCUGUUCGUUUGCAUGCGUGUUUGAGUGUGUGUGUGUGUGUGUGUGUGUGUGUGUGUGUGUGUGUGUGUGUGUGUGUGUGUGUGAAGACUAUCCAGCAUUGUCCUCCUUUGCCUCUUUAUCUCUCCCUCUCUUUCCAUAUCCCUUAUCUAAGCUUUCUGCCUCUCUGGUAGAAGAAAUAGCCUCUCCUGCCGUAGCUACCAUUCACUGUAAUCUUCCUGUAAUCUAGAUCAAAAUAAUCAAGUAUUUAUGUUUGUAAUUAUACCUGAGUUAAAAGAAAUGUUUGCUGUUGUUUGUUUGUUUGUUUGUUUUUCUAUCUGUGGUAUUUAUUUGUAGCUAGUGCUUGUGUGUGUUUUGUUUUUCUUUGCUUCUCCUCUCUGCUCUAUUUCUUUCCAUUGCCACACAUCUGUCUUAAUUUAAUCUGUCUGUUCAGAUAUUGGCACACAUUGGAUGCCUUGUUUUCAAGCCCUGUGGCAAAUGUGUACACCUUAAGCUUCUUACAUCAGAGUUGACCCUCUAUUGUAACCCUUGACCCUGCACAAGGUUAAUUCUUGUGCGACGGCACUGAGUCUUGCUCCGUGAGAGCAUUAAGCUGAAAAGAAACACAGAAAGAUAAGCUCGGCCGAAUCGAAAGCAUUUGACCCCCCCAGGAGUCACCAAGUGUGCACAGAGAUUGAGAGCUGGUGGGAUUGGAUUGGUGGGUGCAGAAGCUAGAACUCACUAAGCCUCAUGACGAGACCAGUAAUGUGGUCUGGUCUGGUGUUAUAAUGUAAAUUAUUCAAAAAAAUUUGAGUGAAUGUACGGCCUGAGGAUUUAAGAUACAUUGCCUUUUUUUGAAAAUAAGAGAAUAAAGUUUGUACACAACAACAA